rnacentral:rRNA from 1 species
GAUGAACGCUGGCGGCGUGCCUAAUACAUGCAAGUCGAGCGAACAGACGAGGAGCUUGCUCCUCUGACGUUAGCGGCGGACGGGUGAGUAACACGUGGAUAACCUACCUCUAAGACUGGGAUAACUUCGGGAAACCGGAGCUAAUACCGGAUAAUAUAUUGAACCGCAUGGUUCAAUAGUGAAAGACGGUUUUGCUGUCACUUAUAGAUGGAUCCGCGCCGCAUUAGCUAGUUGGUAAGGUAACGGCUUACCAAGGCAACGAUGCGUAGCCGACCUGAGAGGGUGGUCGGCCACACUGGAACGGAGACACGGUCCAGACGCCUACGGGAGGCAGCAGUAGGGAAUCUUCCGCAAUGGGCGAAAGCCUGACGGAGCAACGCCGCGUGAGGGAUGAAGGUCUUCGGAUCGUAAAACUCUGUUAUUAGGGAAGAACAAAUGUGGAAGUAACUAUGCACGUCUUGACGGUACCUAAUCAGAAAGCCACGGCUAACUACGUG